GAUGAACGCUGGCGGCGUGCCUAAUACAUGCAAGUCGAGCGAACAGAUAAGGAGCUUGCUCCUUUGAAGUUAGCGGCGGACGGGUGAGUAACACGUGGGUAACUUACCUAUAAGACUGGGAUAACUUCGGGAAACCGGAGCUAAUACCGGAUAACAUUUAGAACCGCAUGGUUCUAAAGUGAAAGAUGGUUUUGCUAUCACUUAUAGAUGGACCCGCGCCGUAUUAGCUAGUUGGUAAGGUAACGGCUUACCAAGGCGACGAUACGUAGCCGACCUGAGAGGGUGAUCGGCCACACUGGAACUGAGACACGGUCCAGACUCCUACGGGAGGCAGCAGUAGGGAAUCUUCCGCAAUGGGCGAAAGCCUGACGGAGCAACGCCGCGUGAGUGAUGAAGGGUUUCGGAUCGUAAAACUCUGUUAUUAGGGAAGAACAAAUGUGUAAGUAACUGUGCACAUCUUGACGGUACCUAAUCAGAAAGCCACGGCUAACUACGUG
rnacentral:rRNA from 1 species